CAAAAGAGUUGAAAGACUCGCCAACCCUCUGUGAACCUACCUAAACAGUUGCUUCGGCGGGCAGCCCCAGGGCGGGGCCGCCGCCUCCCGCAGAGGGAGGUGCCCGCCAGAGGCCCUAUUUAAACUCUUGUUUUUAACCGGUCUUCUGAGUUACCAUACAAAAUUCAAUCA
rnacentral:misc_RNA from 1 species